CAAGAGGGCCUCCCAUUCCUUCAAUUCUUGUAUUCUCUGGUCACUGGCUUUAGGCCACCCUCACAGAAGUUCCCUGUGGUAGGAAGCAGGUCCCAGUGAGGGGUACAGCUGUGAGCCCAGCAGUUAGGGAAUGAAUGGGUAGAAAGGGGAGCAUCGCAGUGUCCAUUUCAGGGAGAGGCAUCUGGGGGAGAAAACCCACCUUCCUCUUGGUUCCCAGGAAAUGAAGGGCCAGCAUGCUGAUGCUUUUUAGAGAUGUUGAGUUCCUUGCUGGAUUCUUUUUUAUUUCAUGAUAUGAGUGAGAGCUGGAGGAUAACUGUUUCUUGGGUCUUAAUAAAAAUGAUAAUUAAAGGAGUUUUCUGGGACCUCCUUUCCUCUUAUACAUUCCUGGGUAGGAUUCCAGAGUUCGUGUGCUGGGGUGUGGCACAUUUUCUUCCACAGUGUGUUGGGGAGGACUCCGCACUGAUUUCUGAGGAGCUUCUGGGCCAGGCCUGAAGGAGUCGUGGCUGGGCCGGGGACCAUGGCUUUCUCUUUGAACUGGAGUGCUGUCGCAUUCUUCAAGAGUUUCUUUGCCCUGCUCCUGCCUCAUCGUAGCUCAGCAUCCACGGUGGCCCGUUCACCAUUCUUUCACCACUGAGCAACCACAACGCUCAGAGGCAAGUGAUUGGGUCACUUGUGGCUGUAACAUAGGAGACUGUCGACAUCUUUCGUUCAUGAACUCACUCCCAAUUUCAUUUCAUUCUUCUGUCUUUUCUCCCUCUAUCUCAAGUCCCACCAUUCUUUUUGUUAAAUUGUUCUUAUUCUCUUUAAAGUACACAGAAAUAUAUUAGAAUAUAAAGGAAAAAAAAGUAGAGCCCCUCACAUUCUCUUUCCUUUUCCCUGCUGCCCUCUCAGCCCUACUCCCCAGGGCUGACCUCUGAGGGGAUGUGGUAGGUCUGCUUCCAAGUAUAGCCAUUUUCCAGUUUGGUUUCUAUUUCUGCAAUCACUUUUUAAUUUCCCAGAAUUCUGUAUUCUUUCUUUCUUUUCUUUUUUCUUUUGUCUUUUUAGGGCUGCACCCACAGCAUAUGGAGGUUCCCAGGCUAGGGGUCUAAUCAGAGCUGUAGCUGCUGGCCUACACCACAGCCACAACAAGACCAGAUCUGAGCCAUGUCUACGCCCUAUACCACAGCUGACGGCAAGGUUGGAUCCUUAAUCCACUGAGUGAGGCCAGGGAUCGAACCUGCAACCUCAUGGAUGCUAGUCAGGUUCAUUUCCACUGAGCCACAACAGGAACUUCUCUAUAUUGUUUCUUGAUUGACCUUAUGAUAUAAUUCUUGGUUGACCUUUUUUUUUUUUUUUUUUUUUGUAAACAGGGAUCUAGGUAGAUCUGUUCUGUCGUUGUGAGUUUCUUCGACGCCUGUGAAAGCCACGAGCAUGUGGGUGUGCAGUGUGAAUGUUGACUUGAGGUGGCCUGGGUGUAGUUUAUGGGGAGAUAUUUGAAGUUGAGGACUUCUCCUAGGGCAUGGGACAAGCUUGCUUGAGGUUGGGGACAUCUGUUUCUCUUAGAGGCCAGCAGUUACCCGUGGGCACUGGUGCACUCUGUUUGUCCUGCUCAUGCCCAUCCAUAAGGGAGGCAGAUUUCCCAUUUAAUCAGAGAGGUCUUCUCCUGGGGUUUCACCAGGGCAAAACCAACAGUCAGCUUCUCUGAGGACCACAAGCCAACAUCAAAGGCAAGUCACCUCUCCUGCCCAGAGCUUUCAAACCCUUGCUGCCCGUACUUUUGGAUUUUCUGGGCUUCAGUUUGGAAAAUAGCUUUUCCAAAGGUCUUGUGUUGGUGUGCUGGUGCCUUAGAGCUGGUGGGUUUCAUUGUCAGUCUGUCUCUUCAACUUCUUAUUUCCAGCAUCUCUUGAUAUUUCUGAUGUCCAACCCUUUCUUGCUUUUUUUUCUUUCUUUCUUUUUUGGGGGGCGGGGGGGGCACACCUAUGGCAUGUGGAAGUUCCUGGGCAAGGGAUCAACCCUGCGCUACAGCAGCCAACCAAGCCACUGCAAUGACAAUGGCAGAUUCUUAACCUGCUGCACCACAAGAGAAUUCUGUUUUCUUAUUUUCUCAUGGGCUCUUUUGGAGUUCGCUUUUCAUAUGUCAUCUCUCUCUCUCUAUCUGGAUUAUGAAUAUUUGUGUGUAGAUAUAAUUAUGAGUAUGCGUAUGUAUCUGGUCUCCCUUCUUUGCCAUUCUAGUGGGGUUUAGAAGAGGGGAGAGGUGAAAGUAUGGCUUAUAUCCACUAUCUUGAACAAAGAGCCCCUUCUCACUGACUUUUCUCUGUAAAAUUUGUGCUGUUUUAUGGAGAAAAGUAGGGUAGAGAUAAGCAUGGAUUAUCCUCUGAGCACUUACAUGUCAGGCUCACUCUCUUGUAUUGUCUUAUUCAGUCUUCGUAAGAACUGUGCUAGGCACAUGUGUCCCAUUGUGUAGGUGAAAGACUGAGAUCCAAGCAGAUAAGGUCACAAAGGACCGCAGAGGAGCUGGUUGGCAGAGCUGGGGUUUGGACUGUGCCCUCCCUGCUCCUCUCCUGCAGCCUCCGUGGUGCCAGCUGGAGCCCUGCCCUCUGCGGAGAUGCAGGGGUAGACCAGCUUGCCCCUUGUGUUUGCUGUGGUUGCAUUGCCUGUUCUGGGGGCAGCGAGGGGGCCCAGCUGGGCCUCCUGCCUUGGUUUUCAACUUCAAACAUCAUUUGGUAAUAGAAUGCCUUUGCAUUACAGCUGAUUAAAACGUGCUUAUCUCGAAGUUGGGCCUCAUUUGCAGGAAUGAUUUAGAAAGUUGUUGGAAACGAAUCCAACUCAAUUGUAUAACCCAGGGUCAAUCUCAUGCAUAAAUUUUAUUGUUCCACUGUGCUGUUUUGACUUGAACUGAACUUGAUAACGUGGAAGAUGGCCCCUGGGCUUUCUGUUGCUCAUUUAUUCUGCAAAUAUUUAAUGACUGCCUAUGGGGUGCUACCUAUAUUAUUUAAGGAGGUCCUUUUCCCUACCCCACAUCACCCCCUAUGUGUUCUCUGAUCUACACAUCCACCUGAGCUGAAAGUUAAUUUUUAGGCAAAACCAGAUAGUGGAUUCAAAUGUGACUUUUGAGUUCUAUGGAAGGACCUGGGUUCAUAUCCUGGCGCUUACAAGCUGUGUGACUUUGGAUCUGUCACUUAACCUCUCUGAGCCUCAGUUACCUCACAUAACCGUAUUCGCAGCUCAGAUUUGUCCUGAGACUGCUAGGACAUCAAGCAAGUCACCCCAUCCCUUAUUCCUGUGCCAGGCACUGUUCAGGUCCUUUGGGCCCUCAAAGGACAGCGAGCAUAGGCACCAUCCCAGGUUUUUAUGUCUUUUUAGAUGAGAGCUCUAAAGAGCUUUCGAGUUCAGAAUAAGUGUAGUGGGGUUUCUGGUUGGCAUGGUCUCCUUUCUCCCCUGUAUCAGUUCUCUUCUUUCUCACGGAAGCUCCCACAGGGGCUCUUUAAGGUUCAAUUAAACAUUCAGACUCGCAAGACUCACACAGGUGACCCUUGGUACCUGUCUCCUCAAAGGACUUGGGACAGGAACCACCACCUGCCAGCAGGGCCCACAAUCUGUUCUGUUCCUCUUCUGCGGUCAUCCACGGAGAGGGCCAGUACCUCUUCUCUUCGUCAGCCCCCUCCCCCAGGUUUUAGCUCAGGUACACAGUGGUUUGGUAGCCACCCUGACUUCGAAGCUAUAGUUCCUGAAGGACCCAUAUCUCUGGUAACAGUUCCGUAGUAUCUGCUGGAAGGGGCCCUGCAAAGGGCAUGUCAGUUACAAGAGUCACGACACUCAGGGAAACCUCAAAUCUGGUUUCUUUGGCAGAUAUUUAUCAUUUAGUUCCUUUCGGUCCAGAUGCAACUUACCAAUCAAGGGUCAUUUUUACUAUAAGCAGAGUUGCCCAGGAACGUCGUUAAUAUCCUGCCUUCUUCAGGUUUCCAGAAGAGUUCUGCCAGGCAGGUAACAAAGGCGAACUGCUCUUUCAAAAGGGUAAAGGGCUUGGUUAACCCUUCCUUCAUCUUCCUCUUUCCCCUGAGGGGGUGGUGCUUUUCAGCAGCUCUUUUGGAGGCUUGAGUGAAACCCUCAAUGUGUUUUGUAAUGUAUCCUGUGUUUGAAUACGUUUUUGGAUUGAUCUGUAUAAGACACACACACACAGGAGUUCCCGUGGUGGCUCAGAGGCAACAAACCCGACUAGUAUCCUUGAGGACACGGCUUCCAUCCUUGGCCUAACUCAGUGGGUUAAGGAUCCGGCGUUGCUGUGAGCUGUGGUAUAGGUCACAGACAUCCCGUGUUGCUGUGGCUGUGGUGUAGGCUGGCAGCUGUAGCUCCAACUCGACCCCUAGCCUGGAAACUUCCUUAUGCCACA
ensembl:lncRNA